GCCGGGUCUGGUGGUGGGUGCCUGUAAUCCCAGCUACUCAGGAGGCUGAGGCAGGAGAAUCGUUUGAACCCGGGAGGCAGAGGUGGCAGUGAGCCAAGAUCACGCCACUGCACUCCAGCCCGGGUGACAAAGCGAGACUCUGUCUCAA
rnacentral:sRNA from 1 species